UACGUAGGUGGCAAGCGUUGUCCGGAUUUACUGGGCGUAAAGAGCGCGCAGGCGGUCGUACAAGUCGCGUGUGAAAGCCCCCGGCUCAACUGGGGAGGGUCACGCGAUACUGUUCGACUCGAAGGCAGGAGAGGGAAGCGGAAUUCCCGGUGUAGUGGUGAAAUGCGUAGAUAUCGGGAGGAACACCAGUGGCGAAGGCGGCUUCCUGGUCCAGCACCGACGUUCAGGCACGAAAGCGUGGGGAGCAAACAGG
rnacentral:rRNA from 1 species